AGAGUUUGAUCCUGGCUCAGGAUGAACGCUGGCGGCGUGCUUAACACAUGCAAGUCGAACGGACUUAUGAUGAAACCUAGUGAUUCGUAAGUUAGUGGCGGACGGGUGAGUAACGCGUGGGUAACCUGCCUUACACUGGGGGAUAACACUUAGAAAUAGGUGCUAAUACCGCAUAAGCGCACAGCUUCGCAUGAAGCAGUGUGAAAAACUCCGGUGGUGUAAGAUGGACCCGCGUCUGAUUAGCUAGUUGGUGAGGUAGAGGCUCACCAAGGCAACGAUCAGUAGCCGGCCUGAGAGGGUGAACGGCCACAUUGGGACUGAGACACGGCCCAAACUCCUACGGGAGGCAGCAGUGGGGAAUAUUGGACAAUGGGGGAAACCCUGAUCCAGCGACGCCGCGUGAGUGAAGAAGUAUUUCGGUAUGUAAAGCUCUAUCAGCAGGGAAGAAAAUGACGGUACCUGACUAAGAAGCCCCGGCUAACUACGUGCCAGCAGCCGCGGUAAUACGUAGGGGGCAAGCGUUAUCCGGAUUUACUGGGUGUAAAGGGAGCGUAGACGGUGCAGCAAGUCUGAAGUGAAAUCCCGGGGCUCAACCCUGGAACUGCUUUGGAAACUGUUGAACUAGAGUGCAGGAGAGGUAAGUGGAAUUCCUAGUGUAGCGGUGAAAUGCGUAGAUAUUAGGAGGAACACCAGUGGCGAAGGCGGCUUACUGGACUGUAACUGACGUUGAGGCUCGAAAGCGUGGGGAGCAAACAGGAUUAGAUACCCUGGUAGUCCACGCGGUAAACGAUGAUUACUAGGGUGUUUGGGGGUUAUAAAACCCUCG
rnacentral:rRNA from 1 species